CUGACUUUGUCAUAGGUAGUGAUUGUCAUGCAUCUUCAAAUGAAGUGCAUUGCUUAAAUUUUGAUAUUUGUAUUUUGCUCAUUUUUCUUAUGCAAGAUACAUUAUGUUAUACAUGGCAUAUAGCAGAGGUCAUGGUUUGUUAAACUUAUUCAAUUUUAAAUAGUUUUUAUCUUUUCCAUUUUAUUCUUGAGAAAACAGGAUUGGCCUGUCAAGAAUCUCACUAGUUUGCCUAAGAUCUCAACUUAUCAUUUGAUUAAUGUCUCUUCUCGACACAUCACCCUUGUUGUUACUAAAAACUGCAAAUAUUAUACAGUAUUAUUAUUUUUCUUAGGUGUAAUGCAAGUACAAAAAAUGUUACCAAGUAUAUUCUAUUUACUAACAAGUUGGCUGGGCCACCUGUUAUGAAAUCCAACCAUUUUACUAUUUGUAUGUGUUUAAGAAAUUGUAUUGAUGCCUGAAAAGUUGCCAGUGUUCAUUCCUUGUUUAGCUGUGAGAUUGUGCUGUGCACAUAAUGCAGUACUGUCCAACAGAAUUUUUCAGGUAGCUAUUUCAGGCAAGAGCCCUGAAAUAUUUUCUCUUUUGUGUUGGCUAUUUUCAUCUUGGAUUUUUGAUGCAGCUCCUCUCUCAAAUCUCCGUUCCUAAAGUCAUAAACUUUUCUGAGAGCACUUUAACUUGAUUCCCAGACAGGAAUUUUAUAAACUAAAAGAACAGUUUAUGAACUACACACUGCUUACAUUUUUCAACCUGCCAUGGCUUAUCUGCCUCUUUUUGUUAAUGCCACAUACCACUUCAAUUAAUGUUGGGUAUUUGAAAAUAUUUUGUCUGCUAGUGUGAUGCUUUGCUGACACGAUCAUCCUCUUUUCUACCCUCUUUACUCCCACUCUUUUCUUGCUGAUUUCCUGAUUGAUGAUGAUGCUAAUAGAUCAAGUCUUCUACUUUAUUUUUUGGAAAAAUUUUCUUCACUUAAUCUGUCAGCAGCCUUUCCAGUAAAAGCUUAUUGUUCUUACUGUUGUUACUAUCUUGUGCUAAGAGUCAAAUUCUUUUAUCUUAUCUAAAUGCCAUCUUUUUGUACAUUGGCCUUCAUGCUGUUAUUGCGACAUGAUGGUUGGACUGAAAACUCAAAGUAGUAAAUUUGUGGGAAUCUCCACCCCCCUCAAAUAGGACAUUGUCUUAAAUUUUUAAGAGGUAUCCACAACUAAAAUCUUAAAUUAAUUUGCAUUGACAGAGUUCUGAAGUUUUCUUUUAAGUAUUUACAGUCAUACCUGCUUUGUUUAAAAUGUUUGUCAAAAUUUGAUGUUAAUUCCUGUAAGAGAAUUCUCUUUGAUCUCUCCUAUGCUAGAUCCUAGAGCGAAGCUACAGUAUAGAAACCUGCUCACUUCCCUCAAGCAGUGGUCUCUUGCUUCACCCUAGGGGCAAGAGACAUCACAGUCCAUUUAUUCACCUCAGAAGCAGGUUCAACUGUAGAAGGCUUCCUUAUGUUAACAUACAUAUUGCAUUGGCAGAAAACUCAAAAGAAUGAAAGCCAUCAUCUUCUGACAGUUUACCUUUAAAAAUCAAGACUUGUUCAAAAGUGUACUUUUUUUCCUCACAUCACCUAAAAAAUUUGCUCAAAAACUAUUUUUUCUUUUUUUUAGAGCUUGUGCCUUGCAGAGGUGGAGGACAUGCUUAUUUGUUUGUGUGAUUGAUAUUUAAAAGUUAAGAUACUGUACGGUUUUGGUGUGUUUUAUUUAAUAUUAAAUAUUUCUAUCCAGUCAAAUUCCAUUACGUUGUUUUGUGGUCUUCACAACCAACGGUUUAGUCACUUAUCUUGCUUAGAGCAUUUUUGUAAAACUUUAUCAACAUAACAAAAUCAAGCAUUCUUAGCUUACAUUUAAAUGCUAUUGCACCUUUUUUUAACACUUAAGAACUUUUUUCUAUUAUCCUAAAUGAUCAAAGUCAGAUAAAAUUGUAAUCUUAAAUGUGUGAGUUUGUUUUCAUAUCGUUUUGUUAAGUUGUAUUUGUGAUCUGUGAUAUUUCUUUGUUUUCAAGCAUCUUGCACACUUCAUUUUAUUUCUUGUCCAAGUUCUUGUAUUUGUGUUUAUUCUUUGUUUUCUAUUAUGAAGUUCGACUCAUGUCUAUUGUACAUGUUACUGUUGGAAGUAGGAGGGAGGUUGCACCUAGAUGUAACCAGUUCAAAGUAGGUUGAACCAAACCAAUUUGGUUACAAGUGGAGCAACCUACUUGUAUCCAGUAAUCGGCCAGCUACAACUAGGUUGAACCAGUACAUUUCUGUUUUUAGCACUUGUAACCAAUCACAGUCGGUUGGAAGUAGUUGGAAGUGUUCAUAAUUGGUAAAUGCAUAGACAGGGAGGGCAACGUAGGGGACAACAAUUACAAUAUUGACAAGCGACUGACAAGACUAACAAAACUGUGCGCCACAGAAAAGUCAAAUUUGGCUGGUUUCGGCACUGGCGUAGGGGCAAAAUUCCAAAUUAUUCUAAAUAUAGUACAGAAAAUGGUUGACCAGCUGAGGUUUGACGCGUGGGUGAAACAAGAGCAAAGGUUGCAGGUAUCCAGGGCUUUCUUGUAAUAGCUAAUGCCACAACAGUCUCCCAUGCUCCAACAAGGGAUAUGCUGUCACUAAAUCAAAACAAUGACCGUCCAGCUGUUCCAAACUGGUUCCAAAAAGGAAACAUUGCAAAAAAUUUGUUCCAAAAAGAAAACAGUGUAAUAAUAACUUUGAGAAAUAAAGGUUUCAGUCUUCCACCCACAUCCAACCAAACAAAAUCCUGCUUGACACUUUCAACCACUGACAUGUAGUUACAACUACUUCCAACGCAAAAUAUUUGGAUGCAAAUAGGUGGCUUCACUUGUAACCAGAUUGGUUUGGUUCAACCUACUUUGAACCGGUUACAUCUAGGUGCAACCUACCUCCUACUUCCAACAGUAACAUACAUACUCUUAAAAAAUAUUUGUAUUUUACAUGUUCUAUUAUAGCUCGUUUAAAUUUUUUAUUAAAAGCCAUACGGGCGUCAUUUCUA
rnacentral:lncRNA from 1 species